rnacentral:rRNA from 1 species
AGAGUUUGAUCCUGGCUCAGGAUGAACGCUAGCGGCAGGCUUAACACAUGCAAGUCGAGGGGCAGCGCGGGGCGGCAACGUCCUGGCGGCGACCGGCGGAAGGGUGCGUAACGCGUGAGCGACAUGCCCGUUGCCCGGGGACAACCGGUGGAAACGCCGACUAAUCCCCGAUGGAACGGAGGCCCUCAUGGGUCUCUGUUGAAAGUUACGGCGGCGACGGAUUGGCUCGCGUCCGAUUAGCUAGUUGGCGGGGCAACGGCCCACCAAGGCGACGAUGGUUAGCCGGCCUGAGAGGGCGGCCGGCCACAUUGGAACUGAGACACGGUCCAGACUCCUACGGGAGGCAGCAGUGGGGAAUAUUGCGCAAUGGGGGAGACCCUGACGCAGCAAUGCCGCGUGAGCGAAGAAGGGACUCGUUCCGUAAAGCUCUGUCGCCGGGGAAGACAAUGACGGUACCCGGCCAGGAGCCCCAGCCAACCACGUGCCAGCAGCUGCGGUAAGACGUGGGGGGCAAGCGUUGUCCGGAAUCAUUGGGCGUAAAGGGCGCGCAGGCGGCCGUUUAGGCCGCUGGUGAAACCGCCGGGCCCAACCCGGCGGCUGCCGGCGGAACCGGGCGGCUCGAGUGCCAGAGAGGCAGGCGGAAUUCCUGGUGUAGCGGUGAAAUGCGCAGAGAUCAGGAGGAACACCGGAGGCGAAGGCGGCCUGCUGGCUGGCGACUGACGCUCAGGCGCGAAAGCGUGGGGAGCGAACAGGAUUAGAUACCCUGGUAGUCCACGCCGUAAACGAUGGACGUUAGGCCUUGGGAGUAGUUCCAGGGCCGAAGCCAACGCGGUAAACGUCCCGCCUGGGGAGUACGGCCGCAGGGCUGAAACUCAAAGGAAUUGACGGGGACCCGCACAAGCAGCGGAGCAUGUGGUUUAAUUCGAAGCAACGCGAAGAACCUUACCAGGCCUUGACAUGGGGAGGGGGCCGCCGGAGACGGCGGCGCCGGAUUUCCGGCCUUCCCACAGGUGGUGCAUGGUUGUCGUCAGCUCGUGUCGUGAGAUGUUGGGUUAAGUCCCGCAACGAGCGCAACCCCCGCCCCUGGUUGCCAGCAGGUUAAGCUGGGCACUCCAGGGGGACCGCCGCAGCCAAUGCGGAGGAGGGCGGGGACGACGUCAAAUCAUCAUGCCCCUUACGGCCUGGGCGACACACGUGCUACAAUGGCCGGGCCAGAGGGAAGCGAGGGGGCGACCCGGAGCCAAUCCCAAAAAGCCGGCCCCAGUUCGGAUUGCAGGCUGCAACCCGCCUGCAUGAAGCCGGAGUUGCUAGUAAUCGCGGAUCAGCACGCCGCGGUGAAUGCGUUCCNCGGGUCUUGCACUCACCGCCCGUCA